UUGAAGAGAUUGCCGCGGAAGAGCCUGUUGUCGAUGGAGGAUCACUAACAGGAGCGUGGAAGACUCCAGAAUCCACUCUGGCUACUAUCCGGUGGAUAUGCAGUGUUUACAGAACAGUUCUCCACAGUCGCUGUCCACAUGGGUCAGUGGGACCAAGAAGCACUCUGCUAAUGUGGGACUCUGACCAGCAACAUCCAGCAGGACCCAGACAGCGUUUUCUAUCUCCCAGCUGGAGUUUUUGUUUGUCUGUGACUAGAGAGUCAGAUUUUUGUUGAGCUUCACACUUGCAGAGUUAAGUCAGUUUGCAGAGAUCCCUCCCACCCUGGCUUUUAUGUGCUAGAUUUCUUAUCUGAAACCACCACAGGUUAACACAGGCUAC